rnacentral:rRNA from 1 species
GUGCAGCAGGCGAGAAUACUUUACAAUGUGCGAAAGCACGAUAAGGGAACUCUGAGUGCCUCCUAAGGAGGCUGUUCAGGUGUCUAAAAAGCACCUGGAGUAAGGGCUGGGUAAGACCGGUGCCAGCCGCCGCGGUAACACCGGCAGCCCAGGUGGUAGCCACUUUUAUUGGGUCUAAAGCGUCCGUAGCCGGUUGAGUAAGUUCCUUGGGAAAUUUGGCUGCUCAACAGUCAAGCUUCCAGGGAAUACUGCUCGACUUGGGACUGGGAGAGGUCAGAGGUACUCCAGGGGUAGGGUGAAAAUCCAUUAAUCCCUGGGGGACCACCGGUAGCGAAGGCGUCUGACCAGACCAGGUCCGACGGUGAGGGACGAAGGCUAGGGUCGCGAAACCGGAUUAGAUACCCCUGUAGU